UCCAGCAACCAUAUCACCCUGCAACUCACAGCUGGCAGCCCACUGAAGCUCAGCAGGUGUGAGCCUGGCCAGUACCUGGAUGGGAGACCUCCUGGGAAAGCUAAGGUUGCUACUGGAA
rnacentral:rRNA from 1 species